CCUACGGGUGGCAGCAGUGGGGAAUAUUGCACAAUGGGGGAAACCCUGAUGCAGCGACGCCGCGUGAGUGAGGAAGUAUUUCGGUAUGUAAAGCUCUAUCUGCAGGGAAGAAAAUGCCGGUCCCUUACUAAGAAGCCCCGGCUAACUACGUGCCAGAAGCCGCGGUAAUACGUAGGGGGCAAGCGUUUUCCGGAUUUACUGGGGGUAAAGGGCGUGCAGCCGGGGAGACAAGUCAGAUGUGAAAUCCGAGGGCUCAACCCGUGAACUGCAUUUGAAACUGUUUCCCUUGAGUGUCGGAGAGGUAAUCGGAAUGCGUGGUGUAGCGGUGAAAUGCGUAGAUAUAAGGAAGAACACCAGUGGCGAAGGCGGAUUACUGGACGAUAACUGACGGUGAGGCGCGAAAGCGUGGGGAGCAAACAGGAUUAGAUACCCGAGUAGUC
rnacentral:rRNA from 1 species